rnacentral:lncRNA from 1 species
CAGAAGUCCUCUCUCUAUCUCUGCAACUCUCUAAUAUGGUCGCUGUGUGACCAGCAAGUGCUCUCCUCUCUCCUUCUAUCUAAUUUUCCGCUGACCAGAAGUGCUCUCUCUCUCUCUCUUCUAUCUAAUUGUCCUGCGUGACCAGAAGUCAUCUCAUCCUCCUCGCCUCUCCUUUGGUCCUGACCAAAGCUCUCUGCUCCCUCUGCGGAGAAUUCUCUCCUUCGUCUUCUAGCCGCUGACCCAAAGUGCUCUCGGUCUCCUAAUUGUCCUGU